rnacentral:lncRNA from 1 species
AAGAGAGAAAGUAAUGCGUGAAGAAUAAGCUAAGAAUGUAUUGUAUUAAUUAGGGUCGGAUUUCAGAUGCUUUUCAAGUGAAGAUAAAUCCCUAUAAAUCCAUGUUUAUAGGGUUUAAUGGAUGACUAGUAAUCCUAUAGAAAGGGUUUCCUUUGGAGGUGUCUAUAGCACUACAACCAAUAAUGUGAUGCUAGGUGUCCUAUUGGUGUCAGCCAUUAUCUUUUGUAGAGGCUGAUACAAUACUCCUCUGUUCUUCUAAUGAACUCUGACGUCUCUACCCCUGUACUUUUCUUCCUCGCCAUCCUCACUCUUCGAACAGAGGUGUUUCCUUAAUUUGCAAGAGCUCUGAGAUGUCACUCUCCGGUCGAUGAUGCCAAGUUCAUGGCUCGUUAUAUACGAGAGAUCUCUCGCUUUGUUCUGCAACCUUCGAUGAUCUUUGCCCAAUGCAAAUUACUUUGUUGUCCCUUUUUAAUUCCGUUAGUCUCGAGGAUUAAUGAUAAUUUUCAUUUUUCCAUAGUGUUACUUAAACUUUUAAUAUAUUAGUGGAAAUGAAGUUAUUUUUCUUUACGUUACAUACAACUAUCACUGUACGAUUUUUUAAUAUACAUUAUCUAAUCUAAUGGUAUAUACAUAUAAAAAUUCGUACAUCAACAAUGUAUAUGAAUUAAACUUUUAUUAUUUAUGGAAAAUGUCUUCAACUGUGUGAAAUGAUGCAAAAAUAUCC